AACGAACGCUGGCGGCAUGCCUAACACAUGCAAGUCGAACGAGACCUUCGGGUCUAGUGGCGCACGGGUGCGUAACGCGUGGGAAUCUGCCCUUGGGUUCGGAAUAACAGUUAGAAAUGACUGCUAAUACCGGAUGAUGACUUCGGUCCAAAGAUUUAUCGCCCAGGGAUGAGCCCGCGUAGGAUUAGCUUGUUGGUGAGGUAAAAGCUCACCAAGGCGACGAUUCUUAGCUGGUCUGAGAGGAUGAUCAGCCACACUGGGACUGAGACACGGCCCAGACUCCUACGGGAGGCAGCAGUGGGGAAUAUUGGACAAUGGGCGAAAGCUUGAUCCAGCAAUGCCGCGUGAGUGAUGAAGGCCUUAGGGUUGUAAAGCUCUUUUACCCGGGAUGAUAAUGACAGUACCGGGAGAAUAAGCCCCGGCUAACUCCGUGCCAGCAGCCGCCGUAACAC
rnacentral:rRNA from 1 species